AUUUUAAGAUUUAAAAGAGGACAGGGUUCUCUUAGUUGACCUUGGGGGAGGGAUUUUACACACUAAUAAAAAACUUUUCUAGGUGAACUGUAUCAACCCUUUUAGUUGGAGGUGUGCUUGGCGUUUUUGUGAGCCACGCCCAAUCAUGGCGAAUGUGGGACUUCGGUCUGGAGUAGUAGUUUUUUGUUUUAAACCCAUUUAGCAAAUACUGAUUAUACUGUGGGGACGAAAGUCUCUGCUUUUAACUAGAAAAGAAACUUUUAACCAGGGGAUGUCGUUGGGAAGUAAAAAAGUCGUAACAAGGUUUCCGUAGGUGAACCUGCGGAAGGAUCAUUACCGAGUUGAUUCGAGCUCCGGCUUGACUCUCCCACCCCAUGUUGUACCUACCUCUGUUGCUUUGGCGGGCCGCGGUCCUCCGCACCGACCCCCGUUCGGGGGGCCGGCCAGCGCCCGCCAGAGGACCACAAAACUCCAGUCAGUAAACGUCGCAGUCUGAGAAACAAGUUAAUAAACUAAAACUUUCAACAACGGAUCUCUUGGUUCUGGCAUCGAUGAAGAACGCAGCGAAAUGCGAUAAGUAAUGUGAAUUGCAGAAUUCAGUGAAUCAUCGAAUCUUUGAACGCACAUUGCGCCCCUUGGUAUUCCGAGGGGCAUGCCUGUUCGAGCGUCAUUUCAACCCUCAAGCUCUGCUUGGUAUUGGGCUCCGUCCUCUGUGGACGCGCCUCGAAGACCUCGGCGGUGGCGUCUUGCCUCAAGCGUAGUAGAAAACACCUCGCUUUGGAGCGCACGGCGUCGCCCGCCGGACGAACCUUUGAAUUUUUCUCAAGGUUGACCUCGGAUCAGGUAGGGAUACCCGCUGAACUUAAGCAUAUCAAGAAGGGGGGAGAGAAAAGACCUUUGGUGGGGAAGGUUGUUCGCUUGCAUAAUAGCGGAUACACUCGUCCCCACAGGAAACUUGGUAUCGCUAGGUGGCCUGAGACAGUUAGUCUGCGAGUACAGCUGGCACUGCCUACAAGCUACGAUCGCUAGGCGCGGGUGCACGUUAGCGUGUAGCGAGCGCCUUCCUGCAGGGCGUGGAUUCAGACCGUGUAAUGAAUUUCGAGGGAUGGGAUUGAA
rnacentral:rRNA from 1 species